rnacentral:tRNA from 1 species
AUUUAAAUAAUUUAAUAAAAAUAUUGAUUUGUGGUAUCAAAAAUAUGAUUAAAGAUCAUUUUAAAUU